rnacentral:rRNA from 4 species
UUGACCUCGAAUCAGGUAGGAAUACCCGCUGAACUUAAGCAUAUCAAUAAGCGGAGGAAAAGAAACCAACAGGGAUUGCCCCAGUAACGGCGAGUGAAGCGGCAACAGCUCAAAUUUGAAAUCUGGCUCUCGGGCCCGAGUUGUAAUUUGUAGAGGAUGCUUUUGGUGAGGUGCCUUCCGAGUUCCCUGGAACGGGACGCCAUAGAGGGUGAGAGCCCCGUCUGGUUGGACACCGAUCCUCUGUAAAGCUCCUUCGACGAGUCGAGUAGUUUGGGAAUGCUGCUCUAAAUGGGAGGUAUAUGUCUUCUAAAGCUAAAUACCGGCCAGAGACCGAUAGCGCACAAGUAGAGUGAUCGAAAGAUGAAAAGAACUUUGAAAAGAGAGUUAAACAGUACGUGAAAUUGUUGAAAGGGAAGCGCUUGUGACCAGACUUGGGCUUGGUUGAUCAUCCGGGGUUCUCCCCGGUGCACUCUUCCGGCUCAGGCCAGCAUCAGUUCGCCCUGGGGGAUAAAGGCUUCGGGAAUGUGGCUCUCUCCGGGGAGUGUUAUAGCCCGCUGCGUAAUACCCUGUGG